rnacentral:rRNA from 1 species
UACAGAGGUGGCAAGCGUUGUUCGGAAUUACUGGGCGUAAAGGGCGCGUAGGCGGCCCGUCAAGUCCCGUGUGAAAGCCCCCGGCUCAACCGGGGAACGGCGCGGGAAACUAGCAGGCUUGAGUUCGGGAGAGGGAAGCGGAAUUCCGGGUGUAGCGGUGAAAUGCGUAGAUAUCUGGAGGAACACCGGUGGCGAAGGCGGCAUCCUGGACCGGUAUUGACGCGUGAGGCGCGAAAGCCAGGGGAGCAAACGGG